rnacentral:rRNA from 1 species
CCUACGGGAGGCAGCAGUGAGGAAUAUUGGUCAAUGGUCGCGAGCCUGAACCAGCCAAGUAGCGUGAAGGAUGACUGCCCUGCGGGUUGUAAACUUCUUUUAUAAGGGAAUAAAGUCAGGCACGUGUGCCUUUUUGUAUGUACUUUAUGAAUAAGGAUCGGCUAACUCCGUGCCAGCAGCCGCGGUAAUACGGAGGAUCCGAGCGUUAUCCGGAUUUAUUGGGUUUAAAGGGUGCGUAGAGGGGGUGUUAAGUCAGUUGUUAAAGUUUGCGGCUCAACCGUAAAAUUGCAAUUGAUACUGGCAGUCUGGAGGAGAGUUGAGGUAGGCGGAAUUCGCGGGGUAGCGGUGAAAUGCUUAGAUAUCACGAAGAACUCCGAUUGCGAAGGCAGCAUACUAAACUGCCACUGACAUUGAGGCUCGAAAGUGUGGGUAUCAAACAGGAUUAGAUACCCGUGUAGUC